rnacentral:piRNA from 1 species
UGUUUCUGUGGCCCACACUCCUGUGUGA